CAGCCGCCACGGGAAUACGGAGGGUGCAAGCGUUAAUCGGAAUUACUGGGCGUAAAGCGCACGCAGGCGGUCUGACAAGUCAGAUGUGAAAUCCCCGGGCUUAACCUGGGAACUGCAUCUGAAACUGUCAGGCUGGAGUCUUGUAGAGGGGGGUGGAAUUCCAGGUGUAGCGGUGAAAUGCGUAGAGAUCUGGAGGAAUACCGGUGGCGAAGGCGGCCCCCUGGACAAAGACUGACGCUCAGGUGCGAAAGCGUGGGGAGCAAACAGGAUUAGAUACCCGCGUAGUCCCUGUCUCUUAUAC
rnacentral:rRNA from 1 species